UACGGGGGGGAGCAAGCGUUUGUUCGGAUUUACUGGGCGUAAAGGGCGCGUAGGCGGUCAGCACAAGUCAGUUGUGAAAUCUCCGGGCUUAACCCGGAAAGGUCAACUGAUACUGUGCGACUAGAGUGCGGAAGGGGCAACUGGAAUUCUCGGUGUAGCGGUGAAAUGCGUAGAUAUCGAGAGGAACACCUGCGGCGAAGGCGGGUUGCUGGGCCGACACUGACGCUGAUGCGCGAAAGUGUGGGGGAGCGAACAGG
rnacentral:rRNA from 1 species